rnacentral:lncRNA from 1 species
AUGUGCUGUAAGGAUUUCCAGGAGCAGUUUUCAUGGCUGUACAUAUGUAACAACACCCCAACAUUCCUGGACUUUGGAGAUGAGCACGGCACAGCAGCGUGGUCUCUGACCAGCUACAGCAACCUGUGGAGCCCGGGCCUUCCCUCCAGGAGGAGCCGCUAUUCCCGGGCAGGUGCACCUUCUACAAACCCUCAGUAUUUUUUCAAAGUGCUAGAUCACAACCCAAAAACCCGUAAUGUAGCCAUUUCACUCAUGCAAAAACCCGCUGAGCACAUGCAGGAUGAAAGAAACCUGGGGAUUGGCUUUUUCAUCACCACGGAGAACUCCAGAGUUCUGGAGCAAACCUUUCUCCAGGCUCGAGAUGUGACCAGCUGCCUGACCCUGAGCCCAGGAACCUACGCCGUGGUUCCUGCUGCAGCAGAGGAUCAGGAAUUCCAAUUUCUCCUAAGGAUUUUCAUAAAGAAUCAGGACUACCAUGAGAACUCGAGCUCCCUGACCAGCCCAGGGCUGCCAAUGGAUGUACCAAGACAGAACCAGGAUAGCUCCUAUAAGGCUCUUUUCCUAAGACACGCUAAGCAGGUACCCUCUCUAAAAUAUAUUGUUGGAGAAAAAGAAAAAAUUAA